CGGGUUAUAUGCCUUUAUUGUCACAAAGAUUAUUUUCUGUUGGACCCUUGUUACUGUUUAUCCAACAAAUAAUGAGACAAGCCCGAACAGUCGUCCGGGCUUUUUUUUAGAAUUGGA
rnacentral:sRNA from 11 species